GGGAUUGCCCUAGUAACGGCGAGUGAAGCGGCAACAGCUCAAAUUUGAAAUCUGGCUCUUUUAGAGUCCGAGUUGUAAUUUGCAGAGGGCGCUUUGGUGUUGGCAGCGGUCCAAGUUCUUUGGAACAGGACGUCACAGAGGGUGAGAAUCCCGUACGUGGUCGCUAGCCCUCACCGUGUAAAGCCCCUUCGACGAGUCGAGUUGUUUGGGAAUGCAGCUCUAAAUGGGAGGUAAAUUUCUUCUAAAGCUAAAUAUUGGCCAGAGACCGAUAGCGCACAAGUAGAGUGAUCGAAAGAUGAAAAGCACUUUGGAAAGAGAGUCAAAUAGCACGUGAAAUUGUUGAAAGGGAAGCGCUUGCAGCCAGACUUGCCUGUAGUUGCUUAUCUAGACUUCUGUCUAGUGCACUCUUCUAUAGGCAGGCCAGCAUCAGUUUGGGCGGUUGGAUAAAGGUCUCUGUCAUGUACCUCCUCUCGGGGAGGCCUUAUAGGGGAGACGACAUGCAACCAGCCUGGACUGAGGUCCGCGCAUCUGCUAGGAUGCUGGCGUAAUGGCUGUAAGCGGCCCGUCUUGAAACACGGACCAAGGAGUCUAACAUCUAUGCGAGUGUUUGGGUGUCAAGCCCAUACGCGUAAUGAAAGUGAACGGAGGUGGGAACCUUAGGGUGCACCAUCGACCGAUCCUGAUGUCUUCGGAUGGAUUUGAGUAAGAGCAUGGCUGUUGGGACCCGAAAGAUGGUGAACUAUGCUUGAAUAGGGUGAAGCCAGAGGAAACUCUGGUGGAGGCUCGCAGCGGUUCUGACGUGCAAAUCGAUCGUCAAAUUUGGGCAUAGGGGCG
rnacentral:rRNA from 1 species